rnacentral:rRNA from 1 species
GACGAACGCUGGUGGCGUGCUUAACACAUGCAAGUCGAACGGAAAGGCCCUGCUUUUGUGGGGUGCUCGAGUGGCGAACGGGUGAGUAACACGUGAGUAACCUGCCCUUGACUUUGGGAUAACUUCAGGAAACUGGGGCUAAUACCGGAUAGGAGCUCCUGCUGCAUGGUGGGGGUUGGAAAGUUUCGGCGGUUGGGGAUGGAUUCGCGGCUUAUCAGCUUGUUGGUGGGGUAGUGGCUUACCAAGGCUUUGACGGGUAGCCGGCCUGAGAGGGUGACCGGCCACAUUGGGACUGAGAUACGGCCCAGACUCCUACGGGAGGCAGCAGUGGGGAAUAUUGCACAAUGGGCGGAAGCCUGAUGCAGCAACGCCGCGUGCGGGAUGACGGCCUUCGGGUUGUAAACCGCUUUCGCCUGUGACGAAGCGUGAGUGACGGUAAUGGGUAAAGAAGCACCGGCUAACUACGUG